AAGACCUGAUGUUUCAGACCCACACGAGUUAUCUCGGACUCACCAACAUGUACAGUCCCCAUUAUCUCUGAAUGUAUACGCCCACUUGUGCGUGCGCAAUCUGAAGCGUUUCAAACAUGCGCAGUACCGGAGGCAAAGGAGAGCCGGAGGAAUCGGAUGAGGAGCAGGCGCGAUAAGGAUUUGAAAGGUGAAAAUUAGAAUUCGAAUCAAUGUCAGCAGAGGAAUUUGGCAGAGUUGAACCUCAGACCAAACUGUGAAAGAGUAACUCGAUUGAUGAGGAUCUGAAUAUUAUCAGCAUCUGAAUGUGGUAGCGUUCAGGAAGUUGGAGCAUUUGCAGUGAGUGAACUCAAAUCUCACUGCAGAUUCUAACGGAAAUGUUGAAUUCAUCAUGUCUUGACUUUCAUGAGGCUUUGAUCAUGGAAGCCAAAACCAGUGUUCGCACUGAGAAACCAUGGAAAUGUGAGGAAUGUGAGAAGGAAUUCAAAUAUCCAUCUUCCCUGGAAAGUCAUCAGUGUGGUCACACUGGAGAGAGACCGUUCACCAGCCCUGACUGCGGAAAGGGAUUCAUUUGAUCACCCAGUCUGCUGACACACCAGCAAGUUCAUAUAAGAGAGAGGCAGUUCAUCUGCUCUGUGUGCGAAAGGAUUCACUCACUCAUCCCAUCUGCUGACUCACCAGCACGUUCACACUGGGGAGAGACCUUUAAAAUAUCCACACUCUAGGAAUUGCGAGAAAAGUUCGAGAGAACUAAUAUCUCACAUUAGUGAGAAACCAUUCAGGUGCUCUCACUGUGCGACUCGGUUCAAGCGAUCAUCUAAACUCCCAAUACACCAGCGCAUUUACACUGGGGAGAGACAGUUCAUCUAUUCCAUAUGUAGGAAGCAUUUCACUCACUUAUCUGACCUGGUGAAACACCAGAAAGUUCAUUCUAAUGAGAGACCUUUUCAAUGUUCAGACUGCAGGAAAUGCUGUAAAUGUUCUGGAGAACUGAUGUCCCAUCAACAUGUUCACACUGUUGAGAGCCCAAUAAGAUACUCUCAUGAUGGGACUGGGUACAGAUGAAUAUGUAACCUCGCUGUACACCAAUGCAGCCACACAGGGGAGAUACCAUUCACUUGCUUCAUGUGCAGGAAGAGAUUCAUCAGAUCAUUGUACCUGCUGAAACACGAGCAAGUUCAUUCUGGCCAGAGAAUGUGGGAAAUGGUAUAAAGAUUCUGAACAAUUAGCCCCGUGAACUUGUUCACAUUAUUGAAAUAACUUUGAAUGUUCAGAUUGCAGAAAAUGCUUUAAAAGUUCUCAACAAUUGAUGAUCCAUCAAUGUGUUGACACAGGUGAGAGACCAUUCCAGUGCUUUCACUUACAAACUGGGUUAAGGUGAUCAUUUCACCUCAUUGUAUGCCAGUGAUGUCAGACUGGAGAGAGGUUGUUUGCCUGCAUUGAAUGUGGGAAGGGAUUCACUCAAACACCCGACCCCCUGAAACAUGAGUGAAUUCACAAAUAACCACAGUGGUUGCAUUUUGCUAUGAGUUAUGUUCGGUAAUGAACACAUUUCAUUGUUGUCUGUUUCUACUGAUGUUAAAUUGACUUUCCUGAAAAUAUAGGUUUUUAUUUUCUGGAUAAGCGUCAAAUAAAUUAGCUUUGUAUUUAACACAAAACUUACAUUUUGUUUUCAAAUGUCCCAAGCACAAGUUAGUUUCUUUUGGCCUUCUUAACGAGAGGAUUCAGAUACAGGAGCAGGAACGUCCUUCUGUGAUUCCACAGGUCUCAGUGAGCCCAUAGCUGGAUUCUUGUGUGCAAUUUUGGUCUCAUUAUUCUUAUGGAAGAAUGCUUUGGCUGUGAAGGGAGUACAGUGAAGGUUGACCAGAAUGAUUCCUGUGAUGACAGGACUGACAUGUGAAGAAAGACUGGAUCAGUUAGGACUAUAUUCACUCGUGUUCAGAAGAGUGGCCUUUUAUAGAAACAAAAGAAUUCUGACAGGGCCACACAGGAUAAACACAGGAAGGCUGUUCUCAAUAAACAGGGUGUCCAGAACCAUGGGUCAGACUUUUAGGAUAUGGGCAUACAUGGGAGCAUAAAGAUGGGAUCCUAGUGUCUCUUUAACCUGUCAUCGACAAGCUAUUUAGGACUGAGAUAAGAAGAAAUUUCCUCACCUCUGGAAUUAUCUGCCACAGAAAGCACCUGAAGCCAAAACAUUGAAUGUAUUUAAGAAGGAUUUGGAUAUAAUCCUUGGGGUGAAAGGGAUCAGAGUAUGGAGAGAAAGCAGGAACAGAUGGAUGAUCAGCCAUGAUCAUGUUAAAUGGUAGAGCAGGCUUGAAUGACCAAACGGCCGACCUCUAUUUUCUUUGUCAAUGGUUAUUAUUUUCCCUAAUACUUUUUCUCUUCUGAUCAUUAUUAUGGUUCUUUCCUCCCCUUUUUGCUGCUGAACUACUUAAUUUUUUUGUAAUGUUGUAAGUGUUCCCUACUGUGAAGAUUGAUUAAAAUUAUUUGUUUAACUCCCCUGCUCUUUGCUGGCUCCCCAUUAUCACUUACAAACCUCAUUCUCUAAGGGGCCGAUGUUCACAGUUCUCUUCUCUUUUUAGCUUUUGAAACACUUCAUUGACCACAGUAUGUUUUCUCCUGUUAUGGUUAUUUCCUCCCCUUUUUGCUGCUUGGCUAUUUUUGUGUAUUUUAAAGUUGCAAGAAUGCCCUGAAUGUGAAUAUUAUUGAAAAGUAUUUGUUUAACUCUCCUGCCCUUUCCU